UGGCCUUGACAUAGAUAGAACAUAACAGAGAUGUAUUGGUGCUAGUUUACUAGAACUAUUAUACAGGUGCUGCACGGCUGUCGUCAGCUCGUGUCGUGAGAUGUUGGGUUAAGUCCCGCAACGAGCGCAACCCACGUGAUUAGUUGCUAACAGUUCGGCUGAGAACUCUAAUCAGACUGCCUGGGUAACCAGGAGGAAGGUGUGGACGACGUCAAGUCAUCAUGGCCCUUACGGCCAGGGCUACACACGUGCUACAAUGGGGUAUACAAAGAGCUGCAAUAUCGCGAGAUGGAGCAAAUCUUCAAAAUAUCUCCCAGUUCGGAUAGCAGUCUGCAACUCGACUGCUUGAAGUUGGAAUCGCUAGUAAUCGUAGAUCAGCAAUGCUACGGUGAAUACGUUCCCGGGUCU
rnacentral:rRNA from 1 species